rnacentral:rRNA from 1 species
ACCUCGGAUCAGGUAGGGAUACCCGCUGAACUUAAGCAUAUCAAUAAGCGGAGGAAAAGAAACCAACAGGGAUUGCCUUAGUAACGGCGAGUGAAGCGGCA